UACGUAGGGGGCGAGCGUUGUCCGAAGUUACUGGGCGUAAAGCGCGCGUAGGCGGUCUUUUAAGUCUGGUGUGAAAGGUUCAGGGCUCAACCCGAACAGUGCACUGGAUACUGGGAGACUUGAGUAUGGGAGAGGAGAGCGGAAUUCCUGGUGUAGCGGUGAAAUGCGUAGAUAUCAGGAGGAACACCGAUGGCGAAGGCAGCUCUCUGGCCUGUAACUGACGCUGAGGUGCGAAAGCGUGGGGAGCGAACAGG
rnacentral:rRNA from 1 species